rnacentral:rRNA from 1 species
AUGAGGUACCUGAUUAUAAUUGAUGAUCUAUGGGAUACACCAUCAUGGGAUAUUAUUAAAAGUGCUUUCCCAGAUAAUGGUCUUGGUAGCAGAGUAAUAACAACUACAAGAAUACAGAAUGUGGCUAAGGCUUGUUGCUCCCCUUCCAGUUAUUAUAUUUUCAAAAUGAAGCCACUUAGCAAUAAAGACUCAAAAAGACUGUUUUUUGGUAGGAUAUUCAACUCUGAAGAAGCUUGCCCUCACCAGCUUCGAGAUGUUUCUACUGAAAUUCUCAAAAAAUGUGAUGGUUUGCCUCUUGCAAUCAUUACUAUAUCAGGCAUGCUAGCAAAUGAAAGUUUCGACCAAGAGGAGUGGAAACAUGUACGGAAUUCUCUAGGUUCGGGAACAAAUUUCACGUUGGAAGGGAUGAGGAAUAUCUUAGACCUCAGGUACAAAAACCUUCCUCCUCAUCUCAAGACAUGCUUGUUGUAUCUUGGCAUGUAUCCAGAGGACUUUGGAAUAGGGAGGUCUCAUUUGGAACUUCAGUGGAUCGCGGAAGGCUUUGUUCCUAAAGAGAACGGACAAGAUGCUGAGAAGGUUGCAAGAAGUUAUUUCAACGAGCUUGUCAAUAGGAGCCUUAUUCAACCUACAAAAUUUAACAAUCAAGGGUCAGCCGUGGAAUGCAAAGUACAUGAUAUGAUGCUCGAUCUUAUCUUGUCUAAGUGUAGAGAAGAGAAUUUUCUGACUGUAUUGGAUGAUGCUAAAGUCAUCGAAAAACUGGAUUACAAGGUCCUUCGGUUGUCUCUCCACUUGGAUGGUCCACGUGAUGGAACAAUGUUACCGUGUAAAGUUAGCAUGUCACAAAUUCGGUCAGUUAUGAUCUUUGGUGACUCGCACAGUAUGCCUCCUCUGCGAUUGUUCAAAUUCCUUCGAGUUCUUCAUGUCCAUGUAUAUGGGCCUGCUGAACUCGACCCCACUGGGCUGUGUAAGCUAUAUCAGCUAAGAUAUUUAGCGAUUAAUGGUUUCUGGGAUUCGUACAAGCUACCGGCAGAGAUCAGAGGGCUACGACACCUGGAGACACUUGAUGCACCUCAUAGUAGGAAUAUUCCAUCAGAUAUAGUUCAUCUGCCAUGCUUGAUGUUCUUGAAUCUCGAUUGGGAUAGAUAUCCACUACCUGAUGGGAUCAGUAGAAUGAAGUCGCUGCGAUGUGUAAGCGGAUUUGAUUUGAUGCUGAACUCACUAGAUAACAUCAAGGACCUGGGAGAGCUCACCAAUCUGACAGCUAUAAAAUUCAGCAUCAGCUCUUCUUUGGCUGACAGCAGUGAACGGAAGAGCCGCUUGGAUGCUCUGAACUCUUCUUUAGGAAGAUGUAUCAGCUUGAAAAUGCUGGUUUUGAAUAUUCCAGGCUGCAAUGAUGCCUUGAUGGCCUUGUCACCUCCUCCCCGCCGCCUUGAGAUACUCUAUGCUUAUGGCUUCUUCUUUUCAAGGGUCCCUAAUUGGAUGGGAGAACUCAGUAACCUGAAAGAAUUGAGCGUCACUGUCCUCGGGAGUGAUAUUGGUAUUCUAGCAGAGUUACCUGGCCUCACCCAUUUCUAUCUAUACAUCAAGGAAAUCCUAAAGAAACGAUUGUCAUCUAUGACAGGGUAUUCCCUGUUUUAA